UGCAGAUUCAGCUAAAGAUGUGUAUAUGCUAGACUGUGAAGUACCAUUAGAAGAUGAAGCAAUGUAGGACCUCUUGAGCUAUUUUCAAGGUAAACUGGAGGUUCACUUGGGAUGCAAUGAAGAGCCCCUGACAAGCAUAUUCUUCAAAGCCUCCCAUGGUGUAACUGAAGAUACGAUAUGUGAAGUAGCCCUAGCUUGCCUGCUCAAGGCAUCUGCAGAUACUACCUUUUGAGGAAUGAAUCCUUCUCAGGAGACAAUAGACGGAACCUGCACUUCAAUGAUAAUUAAAUGGCACUUCAAGAUAUCAAAUCAAAAUAUCAAAGUGAGAAUGGAAUAAAUUUAUUAGUACAGUGUUUUGCAAACAACUUCUUUCACA
rnacentral:sRNA from 1 species